CUGCUGAUGUGCAUGACUGAUCCCUUCUUUAAUUUGCUAGGCGACAUGUUCAGUCAUCAGCCUGCUUUUAUGCUGCCUCUUGGCCAGGUCGUCAUCGUAAAUGAGAAAUGGUUCUCAAUGGAUUUACCUAGUUAAAUAAUAGUUAACAAUAAUAAUAAUAAAAUAAGUAUUUAACAAACUCUGGCUUUUGUAUGACUUUUAGACUUGCAUCUCACAUUAAAAUGUUCUGAGAUGAACAACAUUGUACAAUUACUGUAGUUUUCACCUAUGAAAGGUUUGAAAGAAUACAUGUGAAAGGCAAAUGUUAACCUUUAUGUAUCAUAACUAUAACUAUAUGAAAUAUGCAUGUAAUAUAAAGGGAAAAAAAUAUUAUACGUUUACAAGAAAAGAUAGAAAUCAUUAAAAAAAAUCUACAUUUCUGUUAAGAUGGUCUCAUAUCUUUUUUGGAUUAUGUCACCGUUAAAAUAAAAAAAAUAAAAAAUUAAGAGGUGGCCUUAAAUGAGAAAACGACAAAAAAUGUCGAGCAGAAAGAAUACAACAGAAGGGUUAAUUCACCUAAGACAUCAUGCCAUGAUGUAUUGAUCUUCUAUUGGUCACAUGACUUUUGAACUUUGAAAUACAGCUAAAUUCAAAAUGUCUAUAGAUAAUAUAAGAUUGCAUUGUCAGAUUAUUUCCAUCUGUAUUUCUUCUAAUAGUAAGAUAUGAUUUAUACAGACCUGCAUUUAUCUCUUACAUGUAAAAAGCUGUUUUCAUAGUAUGAAACAAAGUAUGUCAAUUGCAUCAAAGACAAAAAAGCUCUAUAGUGUCAUUUGUUUGCAGAUGGCAUUUUCUUUUGAAGGUACUUAACAAAUAUAUAUAUCAUUGUUUUUAGUCUAGGACCCCACUGACUUUCAGUAUAUGGACAAAAACAAUCAAAAUAUUCUUCAAAAGAUCUUUUGAGAUGCACUGAACAAAGAACGCUAUACAGGUUUGGAAUGACAUUGAGCGUGAGUAAAUGGACGAACUAUAAUUUUGAACUUUCCCAAAAUUGGACACUUUUUUUUUUUUUUUACCUGACUGGCAGGUAUGGCAUCUUUAACGUUGAAGUAGAAACCAAAGUAGAUCAUGUUGAAAACGCCAUGCCGUCCUAGGGUGGAGGUCAGG